rnacentral:rRNA from 1 species
UUUUCCCUUGGGGUACUUGCGGAAGGAU